rnacentral:rRNA from 1 species
UACGUAGGGUGCAAGCGUUGUCCGGAAUUAUUGGGCGUAAAGAGCUCGUAGGCGGUUUGUCGCGUCGAAUGUGAAAACCCGGGGCUCAACCCCGGGCCUGCAUUCGAUACGGGCAGACUAGAGUUCGGUAGGGGAGUCUGGAAUUCCUGGUGUAGCGGUGAAAUGCGCAGAUAUCAGGAGGAACACCGGUGGCGAAGGCGGGUCUCUGGGCUGUAACUGACGCUGAGGAGCGAAAGCAUGGGGGAGCGAACAGG